GUUCUCUCGCAGGUGUUUGUGGUCUUCCGUUUGUGCUCCGGAAGUCAAAUGUAGAUCAUUCAUCUGCAGUUUCUGCUCCUAUUGAUCUCAGACUGUGUAUGAUCUGUGUUAAAUCGAGCUCCAGAUCGCGUCGUGUCGGUUUCUGACUUCCGGUUCAUCUUCCAGUUUCCGCUCGUCUCGUCUAAAGUCACUCGACAUCUACAUCGUCUCAGACACAGAAGAGGUUAUUAAUAAUAGCAGCUCUCUGAGAGAUGGACGGACGUGUGUUUGUGUUCUUCUGUCUGCUGUCGGCUGUGAGAUUGGAUGCUUCUUCUCCGCUGAUCAGUUAUGAUGAGAAAGAGAAGACGUUGACAUGUACAGGUGGAACAUUUGUUGACGGAGCUACAAUAC